rnacentral:rRNA from 1 species
UACGAAGUGGGCUAGCGUUGCUCGGAAUCACUGGGCGUAAAGCGCACGUAGGCGGCUCGUUCAGUCCGGGGUGAAAUCCUGGAGCUCAACUCCAGAACUGCCUUUGAUACUGGCGACCUUGAGUUCGGGAGAGGUGAGUGGAACUGCGAGUGUAGAGGUGAAACUCGUAGAUAUUCGCAAGAACACCAGUGGCGAAGGCGGCUCACUGGCCCGAUACUGACGCUGAGGUGCGAAAGCGUGGGGAGCAAACAGG